GAAAUUCAGUUUUUAAAAUUUUCAAAUUCCAAUGUCUUAAUUUUUUCUUUUAUUUUUUCUCCAAUAUGAAUAUUCCUGAAUGAGUCAAUGAAGUCAGAUUUUGCUGGGUCCUGCUGAUAAUGAAGGGUUAACUUUUCCAAACUAAACAAUCUAUUUCCACUUUCCAGUUAAUAAACUUUUGAAGAAAAUGUACAAAAUAACAAAUGUUUAUAUUUUAAAUAAAUUUUAGACAAGAAACAAAAUGUUUAUUUUUUAACAUACCAAUGUAAUUAUGGUUUUUGAUACUUCCAGUUAAUUUAUGUAGCUCUUUUUUUUUUUCAGGCAGAACUAUAUUUCUUUGGCCAGAAGACUUCCUUUAAACGUCUCCCUCUUUCACCUCCACUGGAGUGUAGUGGUAUAGCUACAGCUCACUGCAGCCUUGACUUCCUGGCCUCAAGCCUUCCUCUUACCUCAGCCUCUAGAGCAGGUAAGACUACAGGCUCAUGAUCAUAUUUCGGUAAUUGGAACACAGCCAUUCCAAGGCUUUUAGCAGUUUCUUGUACAUUAAUCAUCUUGUUCCUGUCUAGACACUAGCUAUGAAUGUGAAGAAGCCAUUCUGGACAUUCCAGACCCAGCAGAUGCCACAUGGAACAGUACUGAGGUCCAAAACACAUGGUUUUCCACCAUAUCCUGACAAUUGAACUACCCUGGCUGAAGCCCAGACAUCAUGGCACAAAGACAAGCUGUCAUCACUGAACCCUGACAAAGUUCUUGACCCACAGAAUUGUAAGCCUAAUAAAAGUGGAUUUUUAAAAAAAU
rnacentral:lncRNA from 1 species